CUGACCGUGCAAAGGUAGCAUAAUCAUUUGUUCUCUAAAUAAGGACUUGUAUGAAUGGCCACACGAGGGUUUUACUGUCUCUUACUUCCAAUCAGUGAAAUUGACCUCCCCGUGAAGAGGCGGGGAUAAACCAACAAGACGAGAAGACCCUAUGGAGCUUUAACUAACUAGCCCAAAGAAAAUAAAUUUAAUCACCAAGAGAUAACAAUACUCUUUAUGGACUAGCAGUUUUGGUUGGGGUGACCUCGGAGAACAAAAAAUCCUCCGAGCGAUUUUAAAGACUAGACUUACAAGUCAAACCAAUUCAUCGCUUAUUGAUCCAAAAAACUUGAUCAACGGAACAAGUUACCCUAGGGAUAACAGCGCAAUCCUAUUCAAGAGUCCAUAUCGACAAUAGGGUUUACGACCUCGAUGUUGGAUCAGGAC
rnacentral:rRNA from 1 species